GGUGGUUAUAGCACGAGGGAUCCACCUCUUUCCAUUCCGAACAGAGAAGUUAAGCCUCGUCACGCCGAUGGUACUGCUAUAUUGUGGGAGAGUAGGUAGCCGCCG
rnacentral:rRNA from 1 species